rnacentral:rRNA from 1 species
GACGGGGGGGCAAGUGUUCUUGCGGAAUGACUGGGCGUAAAGGGCACGUAGGCGGUGAAUCGGGUUGAGAGUGAAAGUCGCCAAAAAGUGGCGGAAUGCUCUCGAAACCAAUUCACUUGAGUGAGACAGAGGAGAGUGGAAUUCCCGGUGUAGCGGUGAAAUGCGCAGAGUAUCAGGAGGAACACCGGUGGCGAAGGCGGGUCUCUGGGCCGAUACUGACGCUGAGGAGCGAAGCGUGGGGAGCGAACAGGAUUAGACUACCCGUG